GAUGAACGCUGGCGGCGUGCCUAAUACAUGCAAGUCGAACGAAACUUCUUUAUCACCGAGUGCUUGCACUCACCGAUACAGAGUUGAGUGGCGAACGGGUGAGUAACACGUGGGCAACCUGCCCAAAAGAGGGGGAUAACACUAGGAAACAGGUGCUAAUACCGCAUAACCAUAGUUACCGCAUGGUAACUAUGUAAAAGGUGGCUAUACUACCGCUUUUGGAUGGGCCCGGGGCGCAUUAGCUAGUUGGUAGGGUAAAGGCUUACCAAGGCAAUGAUGCGUAGCCGAAUGGAGAGGUGGAUCGGCACCAGUGAGACUGAGAGACGGCCCAAACACCUACGGGAGGCAGCGGUAGGGAAUGUACCAAAAGGGGCGAAACCUGAUGGAGCAACGCCGCGUGGGUGAAGAAGGUCUUCGGAUCGUAAAACCCUGUUGUUAGAGAAGAAAGUGUGUGGGAGUAACUGUUCACGUUUCGACGGUAUCUAGUCAGAAAGCCACGGCUAACUACGUG
rnacentral:rRNA from 1 species